GACGAACCGUACGAACGUUAUUCGGAAUUACUGGGCUUAAAGGGUGCGUAGGCUGUGCGGAAAGUUGGGCGUGAAAUACCUCAGCUUAACUGAGGAACUGCGUUCAAAACUACCGUGCUUGAGGGAGACAGAGGUAAGCGGAACUGAGGGUGGAGCGGUGAAAUGCGUUGAUAUCCUCAGGAACACCGGUGGCGAAAGCGGCAUCCUGGACCAUUACUGACACUGAAAAGCGAAAGCCAGGGGAGCAAACGGG
rnacentral:rRNA from 1 species